AGUUCACCCAUUCGCUCUGAACUCAUCGUAGCAGCAACUGGAGAGCACGAACAUACGCACACUAAUGCUGUUCUCUUUCUUAGAAAACCGAAAAAGAUUCCUUUCGAACUCUUCCGCGUAAAAAAAAAUAAAAUGAUGCUCUACUAACGCACACAUGGGCAAGCAUCUCGGAUUAUUAGCCGCCAGAAGAGAAAAAACCGCUAUCGAGGAGAAACACGCACACAAGGACAAAACGCUGUAGUUAUGCACACCGGCGUUGCUGAACGCCCAACAGUCUUAUCCAAACGAAUGAGGAGAGAAACGCCGCCUCUCUCUCUCUCUUUCAUUCUCACUGGCUCAAUGUCCGGUUGUGCCAACCCAGAGAUGCCUACCAUUCGUUCUUCUAACCGAAAAUGUAAGGUUAGGAAACAUCUAUAAAAAUUGCAUGCUUGCAUUCGCAGAACAGAUAUGGGAGAAUUUUCAGUUAGAAUGGCCUGCGUUAGAAUUGCUACCAGCAGCACUGACUGUACAGAAUAACCAUACCACAGAAUCGUCAACUUAAAAAAAAAUAAUUACAGGUGCUGUUAAACCAUGCUUGCAGCAGUUGGCUUGCUUUGAUUGAAAUUAUUUAAAUAUGUAUAGUAAAGUAAUGACUACACUGGGAUCGUCAUUAGGUCAAGUGAUUGACUGCGACCCGCGUUUUACGAUAUGUGCGAUAUAAUAUGCAAACAAUUGGAUGAACCUGCUCCAAUGGCAUGAAUGCUUCAUAAAAGCCAUAAUACAAAAAGUAAACCUGGGAAUCUGAAGGAUCAAAUGAAUAACCACAUGUGUGUGUAGUUACCAACCUCACGCGACUCUGUUACGCAAUCCUAUGUUAGAAAAAAAAAACACAUUCCUAACCAGACACAAGGAGAGAGCGCUCGGAAAACCUGCCUGUUACACUUUACUUUAGUAGGCGGGUUUGAUUGAUUCUUAGUGGUGUUAAGUUACCAGUAUUAUAAUAUUAAUACAUGUCCCUCUUUCAGAUCAAUUUCAGUCCUUUCAAGAAAGCUCUAUUUUCAUUAAUUGCGUUACACCGAAUAAUGCGAGCAAAAUAAUAAAUAUCCUGAAUGUAUUUCGGAAAUCAACAUUGAAAAUCUUCGUUUUUGAAGCACAACCAUUGCAAUCUUUUGCAUGCAAAUCAUUCGCAAAUAUUGAACCUCAGGAGGUAAAUUUAACAUUUCGUGUAUAGCUCGAGUAACACUAUAGGUAUUUAUUAUCUUAUAUCCUUCUUCUUCUAGCAAUCGACAUAAAAUAAAAUCAUUUCAUUCAUCCUUAUCUUCAUUAUAGAUAACUUUUAAUUAAUAUACGUUCCAGUACACACACCCAAUCACAUUGAUAACACUGAGCUGUUUAUAUAUUUGAUGAUUAAAUAUGCCCAGAGUCCAAGCAGAACAGUAUUGCAUUGCUCAGGCGCUACAGAUUAGGUGCAAAUGAUAAAUGAACCAAUAGCAAUAGCACUUGCAAUCAGUUUUAAAACAUAUCCUAAUAUAACAUUUAUUCAAUAUGUAUGUAACGUGUAGAGUCAGUACGACCUUCAGCAUUAGAACCAGUGUCCGGUGUACGUCAAAUUAACAUCAAUUUGAACGUUUUUCAAUGUAGCGGUGGAAAUAUAUCUAUCGAACCUCCUCGUGCACCAAUGCUUCAUCAAUAUGUUGUGUUCCCCAUGCAUAACAACAUUGGAACAGAGAUGUUCCUCUCUCAGCCACUUCCCUUACCCUUUCCGAACCCUUCUUUCCCCAUUAUGUUCAGAGACCUUUGUGUAGUUUUUCACAAAAUAAGCUGUAUUGAGUGUUCGCAACAGUGGGGAAGCCUAUAUUAUUGGCACACUCACAAACGGUCAGCAACGAACGAACACCAAGUUCUAAAAUAAAUUCCAAAGGGUGUCCCCACAUGAAACCGAACGAAUAAAAAGCUUGAUGAACUGGUCACGCGGAACGAACCCAACAGGCACAUCCUAUAUAACGCAGACAGAAACCCCUUCUAACUAGAACAUUGUGUAUUUGGUCACAAAUUCAUCAUUCUCUCGCUCUCUGCUGCUCCCUCCGAUCGACUCACGUCACGACAAGCCCCAAAACGUACGUUUUAGUUAUAUGAAAAACAUCUCUGUAAUUUGCCAUACUCGUCGUUGUAGCGUUAUAGUAUCGAUCUAUGCCGACUUAUAGACCAAUUUAUCACGGUUACCUACUUUACUACUGCCCAGUGGGACAAACCCCCACGUUUUUCUGAGUUCAGGGAGUUUAGUUUAUGCUCCUAUUUUAGUAUGGAUCUCGCCUUUUUCAUCAUUCAAGGAAUCAACCCUUUAUUUCAUUAGAGAGCUAGAUUGGAUACAUAUCAUACUCGCAGAAAGUAUCCUUCCUACCGUCCUUAUAAAUCACAAAACAGCUCAAUUCAUAUCAAUCGAUCAAUACCAAAUUUAAUGAAACUUCGUACAGCUUAAAUUGACGGAGGAAGCGACGAUAGAGCAUAACUCUAGGAAUCGUAAAUUUGGCACUUUCCUUUCUUGCUUUCUUUUUGUGGAAAUAUCGCUUUUUUCAAUGGCGCGCUGUUAUCUUUCUCUUCAAUUGCAGUGAGUGGAAUCUAUAUAUUGCAUACACAUACGUGUAACACAUAUUUAUACAUAUAUGUGUCUACAUAGAAAUGUAUAAAAUAGGUUAUACACUACUAAUGCGAAAUGGGUAACGUUUGCUUUAGUGAAUUUGAUACAUUGCAAUUAAAAAUCGUAAUUCCAGGUAUGGAGGCAUCUCUUUCCCAUUGUUUGUCGUUUGAAGCAAUGUGAAAUAAAGUUAAGUAUGCAACCUAAUAUUGUAAUAAAACUUUAGUAUUUCUUGGAGGAUACAGCACUGCUGACAUUCCGAUAUAAAUUUUGCUACAUGAUGCUCGUGUAGAAAAUAUUUAGUGCUUUAGGAAAUCGUUUCCUUUAAUAGGGUUGCAGAAGAACUUUCUACUGUUUUCAAGUUACGAAGAAAGUGGCAAAGACAAUAUACAUUUUUGAUCUGGAGGGAUGAUCUGGAAAUGGACUUGCGCAAUGAGCCAAACGCGAGUCGACCCAACCAACAUCUUCUGGCCACAGCCUACUUUUGCUGCUUAUAGCCACCCGCUAUUGGGGAUAGAUUUUGUAGUUAGCAAUUUCAUAUGUUAAAAAUUGAUGGAAACAUAUUUACAGAAACACCCGUAUGGUUGGCAAACAGGAAAUAUAAAAAAAUUGUAACGAACUUCCCUGAUUUCCAGUUCCUGAAGUAGUUAAACUUAGCCGCCGCCAUCGUGUUGCAAAUUGGCCCACGCCCAAUUUUUUUCAUCAACUACAAGCGUCGUUUUCUGUCAUUCUCAAUGUUUAGCAAAACUGUUCGCAAUCAAUAGAAUAUUUCUAGCUGUUCUGCCUAGAAACCUGGCGAAAUACAGGGCGUUGUUACAUUCGAGAAACAGAGGAACCGCACCUGACACGCGCCCAUAUCAUUUCAAGGUACAGCGCACUCCUCUCACAAGGCCAGGCAACGCAGAGGCAAGUUUCCGCGUGUGCGUGUGGGAGUUUUUUUUUCGCUGAAAUCUCUACCGCUCAUUCAACUCAUUCGCUUCAACUACCUUCAAUGGGGUGUUUAAUAUAAAUGUUUUGUAAAACAUUUACAAUUAUCAAUACAACAUACUUUUCACUGUAUUUCGUGAAGAAAACCAUGUGAUAUCGAACAAUGAAAUCAUUCCAAUAAUGCAUAAUGAGACCCAAAGAAAGCAGGCGGGCGGCCACCUAAUAACGACGACUCGUUCGUUGAGCCUCAUUUCCAAUUGCGCGAAUUUUGAUAGUGUGGUGGUGGUGGUUGCUCACCGGACACAAUUUUACUGGUACACUCAACCCAUCGCACACCUACCUUCCAUAGAAUAGUCGAAACUAAUACCACCGAAUGUAUAUCUGUGUGUGUGUGGGGUGAGUGUAUUUGUGUGAGUGUUCCGUUUGCUCAAUUCAAAUGUAGUGGUGCGAGCUGUUCUCUUUUCAAUCCUUCCUAACCGGAACAAGACGAGCACUACCACCGGAUGGAUGGAUGGA